CGUCUAUAUACGUAUAGCAUAUCAAUAAGCGGAGGAAAAGAAACUAACAAGGAUUCCCCUAGUAACGGCGAGUGAAGCGGGAAGAGCUCAAAUUUGAAAUCUUAAAGGGUUUCCCUUUACGAAUUGUAGUUUAAAGAAGUGUUUUCUGUUGGAGUUUCGGUAAAAGUUCUUUGGAAUGGGACAUCAUAGAGGGUGAGAAUCCCGUAUUUGACCGUUACUUUCCAGCUGUGUGAUACACUUUCAAAGAGUCGGAUUGUUUGGGAAUGCAGUCCAAAAUGGGUGGUAAAUUUCAUCUAAAGCUAAAUACUGGCGAAAGACCGAUAGCGAACAAGUACCGUGAGGGAAAGAUGAAAAGAACUUUGAAAAGAGAGUUAAACAGUACGUGAAAUUGUCAAAAGGGAAGCGUUUGACACCAGUGUUGUCUUCUCGAAAAUCAAUUAAAGAUGGUGGGAUGUUGUGUUGUAUUGACUUUAUCAGCUUUCUGCACUUUUUUUCCUAUCUUUUUUAAUGCACUUUUCGUUUAACAAGUCAACAUCAAUUUCUUUUGUUGUAAAAGAGUCAUUGGAGGGUGGCUUUCUUUUCGGAGAAAGUGUUUAUAGCCUUUGGCUUCUGCAAUCGGAGAGAUUGAGGUCUAGCAGCGUAGAUCCUUCGGGGUUAGAUGCAUUUGUGCUAAGUUAUAGCCUUUCAUAGACAACUUGUUGACUAUGAUCAGUCAUGUAGCUUACUCGCUUACUGUCAUUUUACCUACGCUUAGGAUGUUGACGAGACUGUCGAUCUC
rnacentral:rRNA from 1 species